rnacentral:rRNA from 1 species
CCAAUAGCGUAUAUUAAAGUUGUUGCAGUUAAAAAGCUCGUAGUUGAAUUUCGGGGUUCUACCGUUGGUCGGGCAAUAGUCUGUACUGGCGUGUGGAAUUUCUACCUUCUGGGGAACCAUCAUGUUAUUUAUUUAGCGUGGUGGGAAACCAGGACCUUUACCUUGAAAAAAUUAGAGUGUUCAAAGCAGGCUUACGUCUGAAUACAUUAGCAUGGAAUAAUAAAAUAGGACGGUGGUCCCGUUUUGUUGGUUUCUGAAUCACCGUAAUGAUUAAUAGGGAUAGUUGGGGGCAUUAGUAUUCAAUUGUCAGAGGUGAAAUUCUUGGAUUUAUUGAAGACUAACUUCUGCGAAAGCAUUUGCCAAGGAUGUUUUCAUUAAUCAAGAACGAAAGUUAGGGGAUCGAAGACGAUCAGAUACCGUCGUAGUCUUAACCAUAAACUAUGCCGACUAGGGAUCGGACGAUGUUAAUUUUUCUUGACUCGUUCGGCGCCUUACG